UCCGGUUGAUCCUGCCGGACCUGACUGCUAUCGGAUUGAUACUAAGCCAUGCGAGUCAUUGUAGCAAUACAAGGCAGACGGCUCAGUAACGCGUAGUCAACCUACCCUAUGGACGGGAAUAACCUCGGGAAACUGAGUAUAAUGCCCGAUAGAACACUAUACCUGGAAUGGUUUGUGUUCCAAAUGAUUUAUCGCCGUAGGAUGGGACUGCGGCCUAUCAGUUUGUUGGUGAGGUAAUGGCCCACCAAGACUAUUACAGGUACGGGCUCUGAGAGGAGUGGCCCGGAGAUGGGUACUGGGACACGGACCCAGGCCCUAUGGGGCGCAGCAGGCGAGAAAACUUUGCAAUGUGCGAAAGCACGACAAGGUUAAUCCGAGUGGUUUCUGCUAAAGGAACCUUUUGUUAGUCCUAGAAACACUAACGAAUAAGGGGUGGGCAAGUUCUGGUGUCAGCCGCCGCGGUAAAACCAGCACCUCAAGUGGUCAGGAUGAUUAUUGGGCCUAAAGCAUCCGUAGCCGGCUCUGUAAGUUUUCGGUUAAAUCUGUACGCUUAACGUACAGGCUGCCGGGAAUACUGCAGAGCUAGGGAGUGGGAGAGGUAGACGGUACUCGGGAGGAAGUGGUAAAAUGCUUUGAUCUCUCGAUGACCACCUGUGGCGAAGGCGGUCUACCAGAACACGUCCGACGGUGAGGGAUGAAAGCUGGGGGAGCAAACCGGAUUAGAUACCCGGGUAGUCCCAGCUGUAAACUAUGCAAACUCAGUGAUGCAUUGGCUUGUGGCCACUGCAGUGUUGCAGGGAAGCCGUUAAGUU
rnacentral:rRNA from 1 species